rnacentral:rRNA from 1 species
UACGUAGGGGGCAAGCGUUGUCCGGAAUUAUUGGGCGUAAAGGGUGCGUAGGCGGCCUUUUAAGUCAGAUGUGAAAGCCCACGGCUUAACCGUGGGACUGCAUUUGAAACUGGAGGGCUUGAGUAUCGGAGAGGGUAGUGGAAUUCCCAGUGUAGCGGUGGAAUGCGUAGAUAUUGGGAGGAACACCAGUGGCGAAGGCGACUACCUGGACGAAAACUGACGCUGAGGCACGAAAGCUAGGGGAGCAAACAGG